UACGUAGGGUGCGAGCGUUAAUCGGAAUUACUGGGCGUAAAGUGUGCGCAGGCGGCAGAGCAAGUCGAGUGUGAAAGCCCCGGGCUCAACCCGGGAAGUGCGUUGGAAACUGCGAGACUAGAGUCUCGGAGAGGAAGGUGGAAUUCCAGGUGUAGCGGUGAAAUGCGUAGAUAUCUGGAAGAACACCGGUGGCGAAGGCGGCCUUCUGGACGAUGACUGACGCUGAGACGCGAAAGCGUGGGGAGCAAACAGG
rnacentral:rRNA from 1 species